CAGGGAGACAAAACUGAUUGUGAUGUCUGAUUAAAAAAUUUUUAGACCACGAUCCUGUCACCUUAGGUCGAUCGGUACCUCAGCUUGAAGUCUAAAGAUAUGAGAAAUCAUUAUUUUAGGAGUUCAUUUUCAGUUCCUAAACUUGUCUAGGUCACACCCAACAUUCAUUCUUCUGGGCUAUUAGCUCAGGUGGUUAGAGCGCACCCCUGAUAAGGGUGAGGUCCCUGGUUCAAGUCCAGGAUGGCCCAUUCGUUGUUGGGGGUAUAGCUCAGUUGGUAGAGCGCCUGCUUUGCAAGCAGGAUGUCAGCGGUUCGAGUCCGCUUACCUCCACUGAAUCAACCUCUUGAUAGCGAUCCCCAAGGAGGCUUUAUGGUAUGUGUGAUUUAGAUUGUUCAUUGAUUGGCUAGAACCUAGCUUCUUAUCAUUCCUAAUCUUCACUUUGAUUAUUUGGUUGAUAUGACGCUGGGCUCACUGCAAUUUUAAUUGCAGAGAAGUCUCAGUAGAACCUUGACAACUGCAUAGGUAAGUCUGGAAAGAAUAAAGCAUCUCAUAAGAUGCAUUAUCUCUAAAGAUGGAAUUUACUAAAACUAAAUUCCCAAUCAUAUUUAGAAGGUAGUGUGAGAUUCUUGAGAAAAACCGAGCCUCUAUAGAGCUUUAUAUGAACUCUGUAGAGAUUAU
rnacentral:tRNA from 1 species